rnacentral:rRNA from 1 species
AGUUCAAGAGUACGUGAAACCGUUUAGGGGUAAACCUGAGAAACCCGAAAGGUCGAAGGAAGAAAUUCAUUCGCGUUUCGACGCAGGCGUGGGACGGAGUCGUGCGACGGAACUCGCGCACCGCGUGUUCUUCGGAACCGCGAGUGUGUCGUAGUUUUGCGCCCUUCGUUCUUCGAACCGGCGACGAACGCGUGCACUUUUCUUCUGGUAGGACGUCGCGAUCCGUCGGGCGUCGGUCUACGACUUGCGGUGGAGCCCGUCCGUCGUCGUCUCGUACGAUGCGGACGGACCCGUUCGUUUUCCGACCGACUCGCUCGACGGUAUACGUGUAAGGUCGGAGGCCGCUCGAUUUUUACGGAGCGUUCGACUCGUCGCAAGCGCGCCACGUGCGUCGGCACGCGGACCCAGUGCCGCGUCCGACCUCUGGUGACUGUUGGCGACGAUGUUCUCGGACAGACCUCUCUCUCUAUUUUAGAGAGGACCGAUCGGCGACGCUAUAGCUUUGGGUACUUUCAGGACCCGUCUUGAAACACGGACCAAGGAGUCUAGCAUGUACGCGAGUCAUGGGGAAUCACUAAACCUACAGGCGUAAUGAAAGUGAAGGUCUUCCUCGCGAAGACCGAGGGAAGACGGACGGUCCGCCCUCAAAAGUGGGAUCGUCCUGCAUUCCCGGGGCGUCUCGUUCACAUCGCGUGAAGAGGCGCACCAAGAGCGUACACGCUGGGACCCGAAAGAUGGUGAACUAUGCCUGGUCAGGACGAAGUCAGGGGAAACCCUGAUGGAGGUCCGUAGCGAUU